GAUGAACGCUGGCGGCGUGCCUAAUACAUGCAAGUCGAGCGAACAGACGAGGAGCUUGCUCCUCUGACGUUAGCGGCGGACGGGUGAGUAACACGUGGAUAACCUACCUAUAAGACUGGGAUAACUUCGGGAAACCGGAGCUAAUACCGGAUAAUAUAUUGAACCGCAUGGUUCAAUAGUGAAAGACGGUUUUGCUGUCACUUAUAGAUGGAUCCGCGCCGCAUUAGCUAGUUGGUAAGGUAACGGCUUACCAAGGCAACGAUGCGUAGCCGACCUGAGAGGGUGAUCGGCCACACUGGAACUGAGACACGGUCCAGACUCCUACGGGAGGCAGCAGUAGGGAAUCUUCCGCAAUGGGCGAAAGCUUGACGGAGCAACGCCGCGUGAGUGAUGAAGGUCUUAGGAUCGUAAAACUCUGUUAUUAGGGAAGAACAAAUGUGUAAGUAACUAUGCACGUCUUGACGGUACCUAAUCAGAAAGCCACGGCUAACUACGUG
rnacentral:rRNA from 1 species